rnacentral:rRNA from 1 species
CACGUAGGGCGCGAGCGUUGUCCGGAAUUAUUGGGCAUAAAGAGCUCGUAGGCGGCCUGUUGCGUCCGCUGUGAAAGCCCGGGGCUUAACCCCGGGUCUGCAGUGGAUACGGGCAGGCUAGAGGUAGGUAGGGGAGAAUGGAAUUCCCGGUGUAGCGGUGAAAUGCGCAGAUAUCGGGAGGAACACCGGUGGCGAAGGCGGUUCUCUGGGCCUUACCUGACGCUGAGGAGCGAAAGCGUGGGGAGCGAACAGG